AGUGAACGCUGGCGGUAGGCCCAACACAUGCAAGUCGAGCGGCAGCACAGUAAGAGCUUGCUCUUACGGGUGGCGAGUGGCGGACGGGUGAGGAAUACAUCGGAAUCUACUUUUUCGUGGGGGAUAACGUAGGGAAACUUACGCUAAUACCGCAUACGACCUACGGGUGAAGGCAGGGGAUCUUCGGACCUUGCGCGAUUGAAUGAGCCGAUGUCGGAUUAGCUAGUUGGCGGGGUAAAGGCCCACCAAGGCGACGAUCCGUAGCUGGUCUGAGAGGAUGAUCAGCCACACUGGAACUGAGACACGGUCCAGACUCCUACGGGAGGCAGCAGUGGGGAAUAUUGGACAAUGGGCGCAAGCCUGAUCCAGCCAUACCGCGUGGGUGAAGAAGGCCUUCGGGUUGUAAAGCCCUUUUGUUGGGAAAGAAAAGCAGCAGGUUAAUACCCCGCUGUUCUGACGGUACCCAAAGAAUAAGCACCGGCUAACUUCGUG
rnacentral:rRNA from 1 species